CCUACGGGGGGCUGCAGUGGGGAAUAUUGCACAAUGGGCGCAAGCCUGAUGCAGCCAUGCCACGUGUGUGAAGAAGGCCUUCGGGUUGUAAAGCACUUUCAGCGGGGAGGAAGGCGUUAAGGUUAAUAACCUUGGCGAUUGACGUUACCCGCAGAAGAAGCACCGGCUAACUCCGUGCCAGCAGCCGCGGUAAUACGGAGGGUGCAAGCGUUAAUCGGAAUUACUGGGCGUAAAGCGCACGCAGGCGGUCUGUCAAGUCGGAUGUGAAAUCCCCGGGCUCAACCUGGGAACUGCAUUCGAACUGGCAGGCUAGAGGCUUGUAGAGGGGGGUAGAAGUCCAGGUGUAGCGGUGAAAUGCGUAGAGAUCUGGAGGAAUACCGGUGGCGAAGGCGGCCCCCUGGACAAAGACUUACGCUCAGGUGCGAAAGCGUGGGGAGCAAACAGGAUUAGAUACCCGGGGAGUC
rnacentral:rRNA from 1 species